rnacentral:rRNA from 1 species
CAAUACCGGGUGGCGACCGGCGCACGGGUGAGUAACACGUAUCCAACCUGCCGAUAACUCGGGGAUAGCCUUUCGAAAGAAAGAUUAAUACCCGAUGGCAUAAUAGAACCGCAUGGUUUGAUUAUUAAAGAAUUUCGGUUAUCGAUGGGGAUGCGUUCCAUUAGGCAGUUGGUGGGGUAACGGCCCACCAAACCUUCGAUGGAUAGGGGUUCUGAGAGGAAGGUCCCCCACAUUGGAACUGAGACACGGUCCAA